rnacentral:ncRNA from 1 species
UUUCUUUCAAUUGAGCAUCAUUUUGUAGUCUCUCUUUGCAGGCAUGCUAAACAACAUAGCACGUGCUAAGAUCCAAAGUCGAGAGGGAAACAACCCUGAUUAUAUGCUAAGGUCCCUAAGUAAUCACUUAGUUGAAAAGGAAGUGAUCGAUUGAUUACAACUAGGAGGUGGGCUUGUAAGCAGUCAUUUGUAACAGAAAGUAUAUAGCUCACUAGUCUAUCUCCAAGAAAACAAAAAUAUAUCAACGCUUAGGUGAUUCAUCAAAGCGACGAGAGUUUCAAAACUGUUUUCAAGUGUUAGUGGCGGAACAUUCUAUCAUUUUGGGAAAUUUUUUGGUGACGAGAACUUGAGAUAUCAGAAGUG